ACUUGUCAAUUUGAUUAAGGUUGAACGUAAAGUUGAUUAAUAGGGAAUUGUGUGCAAAUCACAAGCUGACGCGCAACUGUAAGUAACAUUGAAGGUUUUAUCUAAAGUAUCCACUGUCUAACCACCAUAGGACGGGAAGGAAGAUAAAAACGUUACAAGCCAGGAGACCUGCCUUACAUCAUAAUGAUUU
rnacentral:ncRNA from 2 species